GAUGAACGCUGGCGGCGUGCCUAAUACAUGCAAGUCGAGCGAACAGACGAGAAGCUUGCUCCUCUGAUGUUAGCGGCGGACGGGUGAGUAACACGUGGAUAACCUACCUAUAAGACUGGGAUAACUUCGGGAAACCGGAGCUAAUACCGGAUAAUAUUUUGAACCGCAUGGUUCAAAAGUGAAAGACGGUUUUGCUGUCACUUAUAGAUGGAUCCGCGCUGCAUUAGCUAGUUGGUAAGGUAACGGCUUACCAAGGCAACGAUGCAUAGCCGACCUGAGAGGGUGAUCGGCCACACUGGAACUGAGACACGGUCCAGACUCCUACGGGAGGCAGCAGUAGGGAAUCUUCCGCAAUGGGCGAAAGCCUGACGGAGCAACGCCGCGUGAGUGAUGAAGGUCUUCGGAUCGUAAAACUCUGUUAUUAGGGAAGAACAAAUGUGUAAGUAACUGUGCACGUCUUGACGGUACCUAAUCAGAAAGCCACGGCUAACUACGUG
rnacentral:rRNA from 1 species